rnacentral:rRNA from 1 species
UACGUAGGGUGCAAGCGUUGUCCGGAAUUAUUGGGCGUAAAGAGCGUGUAGGCGGCCCGAUUAGUCCGCUGUGAAAGUCCAUGGCUCAACCCUGGAAUGCCGGUGGAAACUGUCGGGCUAGAGUCCGGAAGGGGCGAGUGGAAUUCCUGGUGUAGCGGUGAAAUGCGCAGAUAUCAGGAGGAACACCAAUGGCGAAGGCAGCUCGCUGGGACGUGACUGACGCUGAGACGCGAAAGCGUGGGGAGCAAACAGG